rnacentral:lncRNA from 1 species
UUUCCUGAUGAUUGAAAUGUAAAGGUGUGAUAUAUGUUGUGUUAUAAAGUGUAUAUGAUUUUAUGAUAUUGUAAGGUUAUUAUUUUCAUAUGUUGUUUUCAUGGAUCUCACCGAGGUAAGUGGACAGUAAAUGAUUUUAUUAUUGAUAAAAGAAUUUGUUAUAAAUUAUGCUCAAUUGGUCAUUUUUGUUUUCUACUCACCUUUACUUCUGUGCCGGUGAGAUAGUGUGAUGUCUUUACUGGGCUGAUGUAGCUCAUUCCUUAUUUAACCAUUUCAGAUCAGAAAGAUGUUGCCGAGCCCGUUCUGCAGGAAGACGGCGAAGGGGACGCCUAAAGACUCCAUAGUUAUAUUUAUAUUUCUUAUUUCGAGUAUCUCUUUUAGUUAGUUUGUUCUUUCAUGUUUUGAGUACGUUUUAGUUAUUGUGUAAGGGAUGUUAAUCAAAAUUUUUAUUACGCUUCCGCAUUUGAGAUUUUUAAUACAUAUAUUUCAUUUAAAUCUCUAGGGCCGUUACAGCGUCACCAUCGUAGUUUCGGCCAUCCAUCAGUCACGUCCAUUAGUUGUCGCAUAACAUCAAGUCACUUUUUCCCCUCCCUCUCUCUUCACAGGAUUUUGCCACUUGGUGAAAAUCCAACAGUCCUUAUUUUCUAUAAAUAUGGACCUUUUUUCCACCAUUUUUUCACCACUCUAACUUCAUUCUUCCAUUCACUAAGAAAUUCUAGAGAGAGAGUGCUAGAGUGAGAAGAGGAAGGAAUAAAAAAAGGACCUAGGAAAAACUUCAAGUUUUGAAAAGGAAUUUGAUAUUUAUAUCUACAUUCUAAGGAGCAUUUUUAGAAUUAAUUAAUGGAAUGCUAAACGGUUGUUGUAUGCUUAAUUGUUGUUAUAUUUAAUAUUACUUAUGCAUAUGUUAUAUGUUAAUUCAUGUUUAUAUUAUGCAUAUAAAUAAAUAAUUAAAGUGAACAUGUGAUAUGAUAAAGUAAUUGUAACACCCCGAAAACUUUUGUGCUUAAUUUCUAAUGUGAUAUCCUAUUUAUUCGGGCCCUGAGGUCGUUUAAACUCCUUAAUAUUUCGUAAUUUUAAAGUUUUGUAUGAAUAUCGUAUUUUAUAUUUUAAAUUUUGUAUUUUAUUUGAUUAAAUAAUUCUUAAAACUUAUUAUUUUAUUUUGUCGUAAGAAAAAUCAUAUUAUAUUUUUUAUUUAAAUAAAUUUAAGGAAAAAUAGAGAAAAUAGUGAAAAAUUCCGUAGGAAGGAUCAUGCCCAUGCAGCCAGUGUAGGACAUGGUCCCAUCCGCACGGGGCG